UACGAAGGGUGCAAGCGUUAAUCGGAAUUACUGGGCGUAAAGGGUGCGUAGGCGGUUCGUUAAGUCUGUCGUGAAAUCCCCGGGCUCAACCUGGGAAUGGCGAUGGAUACUGGCGAGCUAGAGUGUGUCAGAGGAUGGUGGAAUUCCCGGUGUAGCGGUGAAAUGCGUAGAGAUCGGGAGGAACAUCAGUGGCGAAGGCGGCCAUCUGGGACAACACUGACGCUGAGGUGCGAAAGCGUGGGGAGCAAACAGG
rnacentral:rRNA from 1 species